CGCGGCAUGCUGAUCCGCGAUUCUAGCGAUUCCAGCUUCACGCAGUCGAGUUGCAGACUGCGAUCCGGACUACGAUCGGUUUUCUGGGAUUGGCUCCGCCUCGCGGCUUGGCAACCCUCUGUUCCGACCAUUGUAUGACGUGUGAAGCCCUACCCAUAAGGGCCAUGAGGACUUGACGUCAUCCCCACCUUCCUCCGGUUUGUCACCGGCAGUCUCCUUAGAGUGCUCUUGCGUAGCAACUAAGGACAAGGGUUGCGCUCGUUGCGGGACUUAACCCAACAUCUCACGACACGAGCUGACGACAGCCAUGCAGCACCUGUGCGCCGGUUCUCUUUCGAGCACUCCCGCCUCUCAGCAGGAUUCCGACCAUGUCAAGGGUAGGUAAGGUUUUUCGCGUUGCAUCGAAUUAGUCCACAUCAUCCACCGCUUGUGCGGGUCCCCGUCAAUUCCUUUGAGUUUUAAUCUUGCGACCGUACUCCCCAGGCGGUCAACUUCACGCGUUAGCUACGUUACUAAGGAAAUGAAUCCCCAACAACUAGUUGACAUCGUUUAG
rnacentral:rRNA from 1 species